AUGUGCUUAGUACAUAUAUACUAAAGCUGGAGUGAUACAGGGAGAAUUAGCAUGGGCUCUGCGCAAGGAUGGCAUGCUAAUCCAUGAAGCAUUCCAUGUUGAG
ensembl:snRNA U6 U6 spliceosomal RNA